rnacentral:rRNA from 1 species
UACGAAGGGGGCUAGCGUUGCUCGGAAUCACUGGGCGUAAAGCGCACGUAGGCGGAUUGUUAAGUCAGGGGUGAAAUCCUGGAGCUCAACUCCAGAACUGCCUUUGAUACUGGCGAUCUUGAGUCCGGGAGAGGUGAGUGGAACUGCGAGUGUAGAGGUGAAAUGCGUAGAGAUGCGGAGGAACACCGAUGGCGAAGGCAGCCCCCUGGGCCAACACUGACGCUCAGGCACGAAAGCGUGGGGAGCAAACAGG